UGGUUAUCUCGCCUCCCUGUCACGGAGGAGAUCGUCGGUUCAAAUCCGUCAUGGACCG
rnacentral:tRNA from 1 species